GGGUUGUGAGGUUAAGCGACUAAGCGUACACGGUGGAUGCCCUGGCAGUCAGAGGCGAUGAAGGACGUGCUAAUCUGCGAUAAGCGUCGGUAAGGUGAUAUGAACCGUUAUAACCGGCGAUUUCCGAAUGGGGAAACCCAGUGUGAUUCGUCACACUAUCAUUAACUGAAUCCAUAGGUUAAUGAGGCGAACCGGGGGAACUGAAACAUCUAAGUACCCCGAGGAAAAGAAAUCAACCGAGAUUCCCCCAGUAGCGGCGAGCGAACGGGGAGCAGCCCAG
rnacentral:rRNA from 2 species